CCUACGGGAGGCAGCAGUGAGGAAUAUUGGUCAAUGGACGAGAGUCUGAACCAGCCAAGUAGCGUGAAGGAUGACUGCCCUAUGGGUUGUAAACUUCUUUUAUAUGGGAAUAAUAUGUUCCACGCGUGGGCUUUUGUAUGUACCAUAUGAAUAAGGAUUGGCUAACUUCCUGCCAGCAGCCGCGGUAAUACGGAGGAUUCGAGCGUUAACCGGGUUUAAUGGGUUUAAAGGGGUCGUAGGUGGGUUGUUAAAUUAGUUGUGAAAGUUUGCGGCUCAACCAUAAAAUUGCAGUUGAAACUGGCAGUCUUGAGUACAGGAGAGGUGGGCGGAAUUCGUGGUGUAGCGGUGAAAUGCUUAGAUAUCACGAAGAACUCCGAUUGCGAAGGCAGCUCACUGGAGUGCAACUGACACUGAGGCUCGAAAGUGUGGGUAUCAAACAGGAUUAGAUACCCGGGUAGUC
rnacentral:rRNA from 1 species